GUCUCUGUGGUGCAAUUGUUAGAGCGUUUGGCUGCUAACCAAAAGGUUGGUGGUUUGAGCCCACCCAGGGACG
rnacentral:tRNA from 1 species